GAUGAACGCUAGCGGCAGGCUUAACACAUGCAAGUCGAGGGCAGCAUAAUGGAUAGCAAUAUCUAUGGUGGCGACCGGCGCACGGGUGCGUAACGCGUAUGCAACCUACCUUUAACAGGGGGAUAACACUGAGAAAUUGGUACUAAUACCCCAUAAUAUCAUAGAAGGCAUCUUUAUGGUUGAAAUUCCGAUGGUUAGAGAUGGCAUGCGUUGUAUUAGCUAGUUGGUGGGGUAACGGCUCACUAAGGCGACGAUACAUAGGGGACUGAGAGGUUAACCCCCACACUGGUACUGAGACACGGACCAGACUCCUACGGGAGCAGCAGUGAGGAAUAGUGGUCAAUGGACAGAGUCUGAACCAGCCAAGUAGCGUGCAGGAUGACGG
rnacentral:rRNA from 1 species